GUCCAAGCACAAAUGUGGAUCACUGAAGACAGUACUGGAAGCGCCAUUUGCAGAUUUCUAGAACGCUCCCUGUGAUGAAUCAUGGAUUAUCAAGGCCAGGUAGUGAAACAGGCCCUGAAUGUAAGACCAAAGGAAAAAAUUGUAUUCUUUCAUCUGCUUCUCUGCUUCAUUUUUUUACCUGCUCCUGGACAUCUUCAAACUCUGAGCUGAGCAACUCUAUGAAGAUAGGCACAGCUCCUGCCUGAAUCACAAUCCGCGUCUGAAGAGAAUUUCCUGAAGCAAUAUUUGUCAAUACCCAAGCUGAUUCAAACUAUAAAGAUAAAAAUAAUUUUAUUAUAUUAUGAGCAUUUAAUAGCUUGUUUUUAGCUAUAACAAUAAGGUUUUCUGUACGUGAAGAAAAGAAUCUGAAAUCAUUAUUUACACACAAUCUAUCAGAUGGAUUCUGUAUCAAUUUUAAAUGAAGAAUUCCCAGUACAAAAACCUAGAAUAUUCAAACUAAAAUUUGGUCUAAAAUUUCAGACCAAAGUAGAGCUGACAUAAUACUAAAAAAAGAAUGAGGGACUGCUUCAUAUGCUGCCAUAAAUGAUCUCCCAAGAAACAAAUGAAAAAAAGGAAACAAAAAAAAAAAAGCCUAAUAGUGUACAUUAAGAUAGCAUCAUACUGUAUUUUCUAAAAGGGUUAAGAAGGAAUAUAUGCAUUAAUUUACCUAUGGUACAGAAUAUCUCUGGCACGAGUCAUAAGAAACUGCAAAUACUUGUUAACUACAUGGAAAGGUAAGGGUGAAUGGGAAAGAAAUCCUUAUGUAUCAUUUUGGCCUUAAACCAUGUAUAUUAUCUAAUAAAAAAAAGUAAAUAAUUUCUAUAAGAUGGACACAGAGAAAAGUUGAGAGGAUACUAAUGGAAAAUGUGUAAGACAUAAGGACAGUGAAAAAGGCCAAAGAUAUUUUAAAUGAUAAGUGAGCCAAAAGGAGCUAACUGGCAUUCAAUUAAUAGAAAUGGCAACAUUAGAGCAUAAGAGCUUCUGACAAAUGAGAGGGCUCCAACUAAAGUACAGAGGUAAGAUUUUUUUUAAAUUAUAUUUAUUAACAUAUAAUGUAUUAUUUGCCCCAUGGGUACUGGUCUGUGAACUGCCAGGCUUACACACUUCACAGCACUCACCAUAGCACAUACCCUCCCAAUGUCCAUAACCUAACCACCCUCUCCAUACCGGAGGUAAGGUUUUUAAAAAGAGCAUUCUUUAAGCCUGAUAAACUGGUAAACAGAAAGUAUGAAAGAAAUCAUGGCCAACAAAAAGUACAGCAUUUUACUAAUCUGUCAAUUUGCGCAGUAAUUUGAUUCUACCCUAAAAUGGAGAAAUCCAAGAAUGAACUCAUAAAUUCUAUUUACUUAAAAGAGUUCUUAUUCUUACUAAACUUUAGUUUUGUUUCCUUCUUCUGUUCUUUCUAUUUAUCCCUUAAUGAAGCACAUACACACAAAAAAAUUCAGUGGCAUGUCCCUUCAAUGAGAGAUCAAUAAAAAGUCACUGAAAGACAGAGCUGUGACUCUUCUAAAAGCUUUUGGGUCAACUGAAAGGCAGCUGUCAUAUGGAAAACUAAAUCAUCAGUCAUUGGAUUUGGGGGAAGGAAAACAGAAGACAUGGGAAGACAAUCUGGUUAUCAUGAUCCAAAGCAUGUGAAUGACAGCAAAUUCACAAGAGAAGAUGCCUAAAGAAGGGGACAUUCCAAGAAACCUAUGAAAGUGAUAAACACAAAUGAGGACAAAGGUUAGGCAGCCUAACUGGACAAUGAUAUUACAGUAGCAAGGAGGUCCAGACCAGGAGCACCACAGGAAAACUAACUAGCAGAGUUAAAACUAAGAGACAGAUGAUGUGAAUACAAAAGCAAACCUUCCUACCAGACGGCAGGCUCCAAGUUGAACAAAGAAUCAUGAGAUACUGCAGAGACCAAGUCAAAGAAAUGACAACUGUGAGGAAAAGCUGUGUAUGAAGAAUGAGUGAGAUGGGCAUACAUACCAGUCUCUGUCAAAGAGAAAACAGACUGCGAUGAGAUUCUGAUGUAAAUGAAAUGACAACAAUAACCUGCAUGGAUAAAGGCUUAUUAAAAAACUACCAAUGAGAUAAAACUAGAAUAGUCAUUGCUGCCAGAGUUGAAGCUGCUCUCAUUCUUAUGAGGUUUAGUACCAGGAGUCUCACAGGAAGUGAGAGGGAAUUCCAGAAGCUACUUAAGAGAAUGAAAUGGAAAAGCAAAACAGAGUGAAAAUGAGUAAGAAAAUAGAGAAUAAGUGAAAAGGGAUGGAAGAAAAAGGGAAAUUAGGCUAUCUCAGCAAAAGAAGAAUGUACCAGAGUCAUGUUUAUUACUAAGAAGUACAUAGUGAUGAUAAUCUCCAAAAGCAAGAUUCAAGGCCUCCCCUGGUAAGAAGAGAAAUCAGAAAGCAUCAGGGACAGAAACAGAUGAGUACCUUAUAACUAGAGAGCCACUGAAAAUCCUAUUCAUGCAUGAACAAGGCAUUCUCUCUUUCACGUGCACGCACGUGUGCAUGCGAACACACACACACACACACACACACACAUACACAGUGUUUACUUUGAUGUUUACCCUGUAAAAACUCAUCAAGCUGUACUCGUGCAAUUUUGUAUGCCCAUCUGUGUAUUUAUGUAAAAUGUACAUAUGUAGAUAGGAGAGAGGAGAGAGGGAGGAAGAAACUAUCCCCCCCCCAUCAUACAUGCCCCUGUUAAUAAAGUGCUAAAAGAAACAACUUUCGAAUGUUGUUUAAUAUGGAUGCUUUUUAAAAACAGGGUGUACUUCAAACUAACCUCUCUUUCAGACUAUUGCCAUCACUGUGUUGUUGUUAAUGUUUUGGUUUUGGGUCCCAGAUUUGAAUUUAACAUGCAAGAGAGCUAGGAAAUGUGAAAGUCCAGAAUUGACAGCAAAAACGACUGCAUAAGGUUAUGAGAGAAAUGGCCAGAAAAAGUAAUUUAAGUAACCAUGAGACUCAAAAAAUCGGUAACAUGAUGAAUGAAGCCUAAGAACUGGUAUCACCUGAAGUAAAUAAAUGGCAGCCAAAAUUACUAUGAUCCUUACUUCCUCUUUUUUGUUUUAAACUACUAUGUUUUUUAAUGUUCCAAGAAUGGUACCAUGCAAGGAAAACAACCUGUCAUGCUGUGAUUACUUAUAAAUUGUAACUCCACUAUUAUUUUUCACUGUCCAGACUUGCUAAAGAAGGCUACAGUUGAAAUCUGAAGGUCACACUGGAGAUUUGGUAUUUUCUCUCUUCCCUUUCUCAGUCUCUACCUUCUGGUGCUCAGUUCCUUAAAUAAGGAAAAUGAGAAUCCAAAGCUGAAGUACUUCUGACCU